CCCUUCUCCGUAUCACACCUGGAGAGUUUCCAGCACUAUACCAGCCUCGACUACAAGAGGGAAAGUCAGGCAGAGGCAUAUCCAUUCCACUCCUAACUUGGGCAGUGGCUAGUGAGUGGAAGGCAAUCUGCUACAAGU